AAGACUAUACUUUCAAGGAUCAUUUCUAUAGUUCAUUACUAGAGAAGUCUCUCUGAAUGUGUAGAGCACUGGAAACCAUGAGGAGGAGGUGCAGUGUUCUCUCCUGAGCGUGAAGUUGGCUCUUGGUGUUGCUUUAGUGCAAUUGCCAUUUGCCAUUGAUGAACGCGGAAAAAAAAAAAAAAAGAGAUUGAAGUAAAACCAUUUCUUAAU
rfam:Otolemur garnettii contig131578, whole genome shotgun sequence.